rnacentral:tRNA from 3 species
GGUGGUUGUAGCUCAGUUGGUUAGAGCGUCGGAUUGUGGUUCCGAAGGUCGCGGGUUCGAGCCCCGUCUUCCACCC